rnacentral:lncRNA from 1 species
CGUUAUUUCCGUUAUUUCCGUUGUUGUUCUAGACCUGUCAUUUAAUUAUUAUUUCCGUGUGUUUCUGUCUCUGUGGAGGUUAUUAUUUCCGUUAUUUCCGUUAUUAUUUACGUUUUUUCUGUUUUUUUAGUUAAUUCCUUUCUUUCCGUUGUUGUUCUUGACCUGUCACCUAAUUUUCUGUCCUAUGUUUCUGUCUUUGUGGAGGUUAUUUUUGUUAUUUCCAUUAUUUCCGUUAUAUUCGUUUUUUUCUUUUUUUUUUUUCUUUUUUUUUUUUUUUUAAUUUCCGUUUUUUGUUCGUGACCUGUGAAGUAAUUUUCUGCCGUAUGUUUCGGUCUCUCUGGGGAAU